UAGAUUUGGGUGGCGGACGGGUGAGUAACGCGUAAAGAACUUGCCUCACAGCUAGGGACAACAUUUAGAAAUGAAUGCUAAUACCUGAUAUUAUGAUUUUAAGGCAUCUUAGAAUUAUGAAAGCUAUAAGCACUGUGAGAGAGCUUUGCGUCCCAUUAGCUAGUUGGAGAGAUAACAGCUCACCAAGGCGAUGAUGGGUAGCCGGCCUGAGAGGGUGAACGGCCACAAGGGGACUGAGACACGGCCCUUACUCCUACGGGAGGCAGCAGUGGGGAAUAUUGGACAAUGGACCGAGAGUCUGAUCCAGCAAUUCUGUGUGCACGAUGAAGUUUUUCGGAAUGUAAAGUGCUUUCAGUUGGGAAGAAAAAAAUGACGGUACCAACAGAAGAAGUGACGGCUAAAUACGUGCCAGCAGCCGCGGUAAUACGUAUGUCACGAGCGUUAUCCGGAUUUAUUGGGCGUAAAGCGCGUCUAGGUGGUUAUGUAAGUCUGAUGUGAAAAUGCAGGGCUCAACUCUGUAUUGCGUUGGAAACUGUAUAACUAGAGUACUGGAGAGGUAAGCGGAACUACAAGUGUAGAGGUGAAAUUCGUAGAUAUUUGUAGGAAUGCCGAUGGGGAAGCCAGCU
rnacentral:rRNA from 1 species